rnacentral:rRNA from 1 species
GGAGCACCUUCGGGUGUGACUGCGUACCUUUUGUAUAAUGGGUCAGCGACUUAUAUUCUGUAGCAAGGUUAACCGUAUAGGGGAGCCGCAGGGAAACCGAGUCUUAACUGGGCGUUAAGUUGCAGGGUAUAGACCCGAAACCCGGUGAUCUAGCCAUGGGCAGGUUGAAGGUUGGGUAACACUAACUGGAGGACCGAACCGACUAAUGUUGAAAAAUUAGCGGAUGACUUGUGGCUGGGGGUGAAAGGCCAAUCAAACCGGGAGAUAGCUGGUUCUCCCCGAAAGCUAUUUAGGUAGCGCCUCGUGAACUCAUCUUCGGGGGUAGAGCACUGUUUCGGCUAGGGGGUCAUCCCG